rfam:Oryza brachyantha chromosome 5, whole genome shotgun sequence.
AAUAAUCUUAUUUUUCGUUUUUCCGUGUCCAAACAUUUGAUCAUUCGUCUUAUUUAUAAUUUUUUACGAUUGAUAUUUUUAUCAUUACUAGAUGAUAAAAUAUAAAUAGUACUUUAUACGUGACUAAUUUUUUAGGUUUUUGCACAAAUUUUUCAAAUAAGACGAAUGGUCAAACGUUGGACACGGAAAAAC